UGGGGAAUAUUGCACAAUGGGCGCAAGCCUGAUGCAGCCAUGCCGCGUGUGUGAAGAAGGCCUUCGGGUUGUAAAGCACUUUCAGUCGUGAGGAAGGUAGUGUAGUUAAUAGCUGCAUUAUUUGACGUUAGCGACAGAAGAAGCACCGGCUAACUCCGUGCCAGCAGCCGCGGUAAUACGGAGGGUGCGAGCGUUAAUCGGAAUUACUGGGCGUAAAGCGCAUGCAGGUGGUUUGUUAAGUCAGAUGUGAAAGCCCGGGGCUCAACCUCGGAAUAGCAUUUGAAACUGGCAGACUAGAGUACUGUAGAGGGGGGUAGAAUUUCAGGUGUAGCGGUGAAAUGCGUAGAGAUCUGAAGGAAUACCGGUGGCGAAGGCGGCCCCCUGGACAGAUACUGACACUCAGAUGCGAAAGCGUGGGGAGCAAACAGGAUUAGAUACCCCCGUAGUCC
rnacentral:rRNA from 1 species